rnacentral:rRNA from 1 species
GGGGGGGGGGGGGGGGGGGGGGGGGGGGGGGGGGUGGGGCGGGGGGGGGAGGGGGGGGCUGUGCUGAGGUGAGCGGCGGACGGGGGAGUGGCACGGGGAGAACCUACCUAUAAGACUGGGAUAACGUCGGGAAACCGGAGCUAAUACCGGAGAAUAUUUUGAACCGCAUGGUUAAUAAGUGAAAGACGGUCUUGCUGUCACUUAUAGAUGGCUCCGCGCUGCAUUAGCUAGUUGGUAAGGUAACGGAUUACCAAGGCAACGAUGGAUAGCCGACCUGAGAGGGUGAUCGGCCACACUGGAACUGAGACACGGUCCAGACUCCUACGGGAGGCAGCAGUAGGGAAUCUUCCGCAAUGGGCGAAAGCCUGACGGAGCAACGCCGCGUGAGUGAUGAAGGUCUUCGGAUCGUAAAACUCUGUUAUUAGGGAAGAACAUAUGUGUAAGUAACUGUGCACAUCUUGACGGUACCUAAUCAGAAAGCCACGGCUAACUACGUG